AGCGAACGCUGGCGGCGUACUUAACACAUGCAAGUCGAACGGGGAUCGUCGGAUUAGCAAUAAUUCGGCGAUCCUAGUGGCGCACGGGUGAGUAACACGUGGGUAACCUGCCCUAGAGUU
rnacentral:rRNA from 1 species